rnacentral:tRNA from 1 species
GAGGGUAUAGCUCAAGUGGUAGAGUGCAUGCUUAGCAAUGCAUGAGGUCCUGGGUUCUAAUCCCCAGUACUUCCU